rnacentral:lncRNA from 1 species
UGGUGGGUUCGGUGGCGGCGGAGGUGGUGGUAUUGGACGCCAUUGAGCUUCACGUACCUUGCAUGCAUGCAUGCAUACAAGCACAACAUGCUUGGUAAUUAAAAAAAACGAGUCUACUUGCUAAGCGAUAUCAGUGUUUUGAAGGAAAAUGAGAUUCUUCCCACGUUAAGCACCACAAUAAGCACCAAACGGUGCGUUUUGGACAUACUAUAAAAUGAGCCAACUCACGUGUAAUACACAUAGCAAUCCCAACACACGCGCAAUCCAUCUCACGCGACGCACAACUUUUCUCCAUUUGCUCUCACAGAAAUCUCACUGUUCUCAAACCUUCUGAGGGUGCUCGGCGUUGGUCUCUGGCCGUGGGUCUGUUGUCUCUCUUCCCUGUCGUCUCUAUUCUCAAACUUUCUCGGCGGUGGUGCUUGGCAUUUGUCUCUGGCCGUGGAUCUCUCGUCGUUGGUCUCUCACCGUGGGUCUGCUUUCUCUCUUCUCUAUCGUCUCUGCUGCUCUCAAAUUGUGUAGGUAAUGGCAAAUUUCGUGAGUAUUGCUUGUCAUUGACUAUUGUGAAUUAUUUAUUUGUGUGUUACCGGACAAGGAUGAUUUUCUUUUGGAAGGGGUGAAAUUGCAACUGUUCAUAGUGAUAGAGAGAGAUUUAAGUUUGAAAUUUGUUCUUUUAUGUUUGAAGAUGAGUAGAGAGUGAUAGCAUUAUCCAAAAGCUAGUUUAUUUCGAUUAUUCAUCACAUCAGUUAGUAAAGAUUGUAAAUGUGAUUGCCUAGUUCCUCUCAUGUUUGCUGGGUCAUAAUUGCAGGAAAAAUAGCUUUAGUUCAGUUGGAAGGCCCUUUUGUUUUACAUGACGGAUGUGUGAAAUUUUGCAGUGCCCUUGAUUUAGAUUUCCGUAUUGACAUGAUUUCUAACAAAUACAACAAGUUAUAGGACUAAAAGAUGAAAAUAUUGUAUUGAUAUACUGGUAAGUAAUAAUUGCUAGAUUAUUAAGUAUGCAUACUCAAAGCUUUGAACUAAAGAAAAAUUUCUUUCAGCCCUUUAAAACCCCCAGGUAAUUCACUUACAGUAAGCACAGACAAAAACACUUCCAAUCUCUAAUUUUACCAUAUUAGAAAUUUUUUCUCCACGUGUUGAAGUUAGUCAUGCAAGUUGAAACCAAUCUGUUUAAGCUUGGGGUUUUAUGUCCUGAAUCAAGGUUAAAAGUAUUAUAGCUUUAGCUAUUCCUGAAGUGAAUUUAUGUUAAAAAGCUAUGCACGCAUUAAGUUAGUGCGAGAGUCUGCUGAAGCAUAUGUCAGCUGUGUGUUUGGAGCUGAGUAUUCUUCAUUCCACAUUUUGGGUUUUGGUUGACCUCCAGCAUGACUCAACCCACUUGAGUUAAAAGCCGUAGAGUAACAUUCUACCCAUGAUAUUUGAGUUUAUCAAGUCACCAUAUUUUAAUACUUCUCUGGAAAACAAAUAUAUAUGUUAAAUCAGGUAGGAAAAAUAAAAAGUUAAUUAUGGAGUUGUAAUAGUGCAACUAAGGUUUUGAAACAUUAAGAUCUUUAGCCAUUAUGUUACUAUCCCGUAGUUAUUUUUAAGUUACAAAAGAUAAUAAAAAAUAACAUCAUAUUUUAAUUACUUACACUAAUCCUGCAAGUGCUGAUGGUCUAAAGUUACUUACACUAACCCCCAACUAGUCAACUCCAUCAAUUCACUUUCAUUUCUAAGAACAGAGCCAUGCCCCUUCUUCUCAUUUGACCAUAUUUUUCUUCUUUUUGUUUUCUUUGUAGUUGAAAUUAAAUAAUUUUAUUUGAGCUGAAUGAAUGCAGUAAGAUGUAUUUCUUUUUUUGGGGGGAGAAAAAAAAUCAAUAAGCUGGUUUUUAAUAUAUUGGCUACCAUUUUUUCUUUCUGGAAAGAAUCUGGGUUGAAGUGUAUAUUGAACAGAAUUUGUUCAAUCAUUAUGUCUUCAAGCACAAACGAAAUUCAAACACAACUGAAAGCUUGUGAUAAAUGCUGCAACAACAAUAAGGUCUUGCGAACUUCACGAACAAAAGAAAAUCCGAAUCGUAGGUUUUAGAAGUGCAAAGGAUGUGGGGCUUUUGAAUGGGAUGAUGAUUGGAAGAGCAGUGAAUGUAAUGAUUUUAGAGGGAUGGAAGAUCGUAUUAUAAAUCAGAAUAAAAUUGACAUGUUGUUAGCAGAAGUCCGCAAGUUGGGCCAUCAAAUCGAAUGCAUAUCUCUUAAAUUUCAGUUGCUUGAGCAAGAAUUUCAGCGAAGACAACAACCAAGUGUUCUUGUAACAUACGUCCCGCAAAUAAUGAUAACUCUUUUAAUAUGUAUUAUAUUUAAGUUGUGUAAUUAAUUAAUGUAUUGUUAGUGCAAUGACUUGUUGAACCAGUUUUUAAGAUAACUUUGGUAUUGAUGGGGAAAUGAUAUUCCUUUUUUUGCAAUAAAUUUGUUGGUAGUCCAUAACUCCUGUGUCAUUUGCUUCUUUGAAUCAAUUAAUUUUUCCUCUGUUGCAAAGCCAAAUAUAAUCAUUUAUAAUUAUAAUAUUUUGACCAAAUAAAAAGCAAUAACAUAAUUCCUGCACUUCUGCACUUUAAAGAAUUCCAAAAUUCCAGUAGCAUAACAAUUUAUGCACUUUCCAGAAUUCCAGUACAAUAACAGAAUUUCUGCACUUCUGCACUUUAAACAAUUUCUGCACUUUCCAGUAGCAUAAUAAUUUCUGCACUUUCCAGAAUUCCAGUACAAUAACAGAAUUUCUGCACUUCUGCACUUUAAACAAUUUUUGCACUUUCCAGUAGCAUAACAAUUUAUGCACUUCUGCACUUUAAAUAAUUCCAGAAGUCCAGUAACAUAACAAUUUCUGUACUUUCCAGAAUUCCAGUACAAUAACAGAAUUUCUGCACUUCUGCACUUUAAACAAUUUUUGCACUUUCCAGUAGCAUAACAAUUUAUGCACUUCUGCACUUUAAAUAAUUCCAGAAUUCCAGUAGCAUAACAAUUUUUGCACUUUAAAGAAUAACAGAAUUCCAGUAGCAUAGAAUACAUCCAGAAUUCCAGAAUAACAUAAAACAAUUUCUGCACUUUAAAGAAUAUCAGAAUUCCAGUAGCAUAGAAUUAAAAAAUAACAGAAUAUCAUUUAUCCAUCCACCAUUCCAGUAGCACACAAUUAUGCAUUCAUGCUUUCACUACGUUGAGUAGAUGACAUUCCUGCCCAAAACGUAUUGUUUAGAUAACAAGGUACCCAAUGACGCCUCUCGUCAUAUAAGCCUCGUAACCAUUCGUUAUCCCCCAAAUCAUAUUCUGUAAUCAUAUGGUGCCAAGUUUCCUCAAAUUUCGUAGCACUCUGGGAAUCAUAAACAGCACAAUGCAAGACAUUACUUAUGUUAUGAUAUUCUUUAUAACCCCCUAGCUUCUCUGGAACUUUCUUCAUUAUAUGCCAUAAACACCACCGAUGUCGAGUAUUGGGAAAGACAUUCUGAAUUGCAACUUUCAUUGCCCUGUCUUGAUCUGUAAUGAUUCCAUUAGGAGCUGAAUUAGACAUGCAAGAUAGCCAUGUUCGAAAUAACCACGUGAAUGUCUCAAUAUCUUCGUGUGAAAUCAAUCCACACCCAAACAGAAUAGAAUGCCCAUGAUGAUUAACUCCUACAAAUGGAGCGAACGGCAUAUCAUACUUAUUUGUAAGAUACGUGGUGUCAAAUGUAACAACGUCUCCAAACUCCUUGUAUGCUUCCCUAUUCCUUGGCUCGGCCCAAAAAACAUUUUUUAAUCGUCCCUCAUCAUCCACUUGCAUACUAAAGUAAAACCUAUUAUCUUCUACUUGCAUUUUCAUAAAAUAGUUUUGAAGAGCAGCAGCAUCCCCAUCUCCAAGCCGCAAUCUUCUUUCUUUUUGGACAUAAUUUCUACAAUCUCUUUCUAUGAAUGUCACAUUUUCAUGACCACCAGCCUCAAUAACAAGUGAUUGAUAAUUCUUACAUAAUCUGAUUCCUGCUCGAUCAUUUACAUCAAGCCUUUUUUUUGCAUAUGUAUUGAGGCUACGAUUGCACCGAAAAUACUUGGAUUUGGUUGGAGUUAACAGCACAUGGUUGUGUUCAAGAUUUAAGCUUCGAAUUGUCCACUUUCCAUCAUCCCCUAAACCAGCUCCCAAUCUAGCAUUGCAGCCUGUUUUUGCAUUAGGUUGGGGCUUUAAAAUAUUCACAGAUUUGCUUCUUGUUUCACCACUUCUCCCACAAGCAAAAGUCACAUUUCUAAGAAUCCCAUCACUAUCCUUUCUACUAGUUCUCCUCAAAAUCGGAAACCCUUUUCUUUUACCGUACUCUUUGAAGUAAAUAAACAAAUCAACAUCACUAUCAAAUGACAUCCCAAUUAUUGGCUCAUCGUUCUCCUCAAAUUUCUCAAACUCUUCAACUUCGAUGUCUUUUUCCAUAUUAUUUAUUUCUACAAAAUUGAAAUAAUUCACAUUGACAAAAUGAAAGUAACAAAAUACAAAUAAUUCAGCACAACCUCACACAACUAAACUAACUAGUGAUGCAAAUUGUGAACACAAAUUUAAUAUAUACCAGCAGAAUUUGCAGCAUACGAGAUGCCUUUGAUUGGAAUUUAGUGAUUUUUUAUUUAAUAUAUAACCCAAUGUGCUUAUUAAUUUUCCAAUGGAUGCUGAUUUAAUAUAUAAAGAUUAUUGCGCAAUUGAUACCCUUAAGAUUAUUGCGCAAUUGAUUUAAUAUAUAAAAAUUUGACUUCACAAUUGAAUCUUCACACAUUCGGAAUUAUUACAACCAAAAUUGGGCAUUAAUUAAACCAAUUACCUCCACGAAUUGAUUACGACGGCUACAACUAUCUACAGGGCAGACAGAGAAAGAGAAACCCAACGAGAUGCGCGAGAGAGAUCCACGACGAGAGAAAGUCGAAGGAGAGAGCAGCGAGAUGAGUGAGAGGCCGGAUGAAAGAGACCCGCGGUGAGAGAGAGAGCCACAGCCGAAGACAGACCCAAGGCGAGAGAGAGAGACCCACGGUGAGAGAGAGAGCCACUGCCGAAGACAGACCCAAGGCGAGAGAGAGAGCCACAACCGAAGAGAGACCCACGUUCGAGAGAGAAAGAGAGAAAGAGAGAAAACUGAAAGACAGAGCAAUCCCACGAUGAAGAGCAGAGCUUGAAGAUGGCAAAGAACUGGCUGCAAUUGAACUCGUUGGUUGGUGUGAAAUGCAUGAGUGAGAGUGAUGCGUGCAUGAGAUGAGAUGCGCGUGCAGUGUGUUUGCUUGUUCAAACAGUGCCCUUUUAUAUUACAAAUAAAACGCACCGUUCGGGACUUACUGUGGUGCUUAUUGUGGGCUGAAUAUCGGUGCUGGUGUUUUGAAUUCUUAUUUACUAGUUCAAAAAGAUUUGGACUUUAUUAAAGAUUUCAUGUUAGUAAUAAUGCCCUUACAAAUAACAAAAUGUACGCUCUUUCUUUCUAACUUAUUGCAAUACAAAGUCAUAUUUAUUGCAAGUAAAAUCUUGGUCAUAUUUUUCCACUUGAAUGCUAAAUGCUCUUUUUUGGAAAGAGAAUAACAG